rnacentral:rRNA from 1 species
CCUACGGGUGGCUGCAGUGGGGAAUAUUGGACAAUGGGGGGAACCCUGAUCCAGCCAUGCCGCGUGUGUGAAGAAGGCCCUCGGGUUGUAAAGCACUUUCAGUGAGGAAGAACGCCUGGUGGUUAAUACCCAUCAGGAAAGACAUCACUCACAGAAGAAGCACCGGCUAACUCCGUGCCAGCAGCCGCGGUAAUACGGAGGGUGCGAGCGUUAAUCGGAAUUACUGGGCGUAAAGCGCGCGUAGGUGGCUUGAUAAGCCGGUUGUGAAAGCCCCGGGCUCAACCUGGGAACGGCAUCCGGAACUGUCAAGCUAGAGUGCAGGAGAGGAAGGUAGAAUUCCCGGUGUAGCGGUGAAAUGCGUAGAGAGCGGGAGGAAUACCAGUGGCGAAGGCGGCCUUCUGGACUGACACUGACACUGAGGUGCGAAAGCGUGGGUAGCAAACAGGAUUAGAUACCCCGGUAGUC